UGAGGAAUAUUGGUCAAUGGACGAAAGUCUGAACCAGCCAUGCCGCGUGCAGGAUGACAGCCCUAUGGGUCGUAAACUGCUUUUAUACAGGAAGAAACCCUCGUUCGUGAACGAGGCUGACGGUACUGUAAGAAUAAGGACCGGCUAACUCCGUGCCAGCAGCCGCGGUAAUACGGAGGGUCCAAGCGUUAUCCGGAUUUAUUGGGUUUAAAGGGUACGUAGGCGGAAAAUUAAGUCAGUAGUGAAAGCCUCCCGCUUAACGGGAGAACUGCUAUUGAUACUGGUUUUCUUGAAUAUAGUUGAAGUAGGCGGAAUACGACAUGUAGCGGUGAAAUGCAUAGAUAUGUCGUGGAACACCGAUUGCGAAGGCAGCUUACUAAGCUAUUAUUGACGCUGAUGUACGAAAGCGUGGGGAGCGAACAGG
rnacentral:rRNA from 1 species